GCCUCAUAAACAUAGAGAAUGACGUUUGACGACUCCAGCGACUAUCGGAGGAAAUCAUGAAGUAUUCCUGUAGAUCAUGGACAUAUCGAACUGAAAUUAAAUCUGUUACAGUAAAGAAACAUUUGUAACAUCACCAAGUAUGAUGUUAAAAGAGAAUUUUGGUUUUAUCAUUAGACUUGGAUGGAUUGGGGCAACAAAAAGGAUGUAAAUAGCAAGUAUCGACAUGGCAGAUAAUUCACAAGAAACUGAUGAUGAAAAGCUUGCUUCAGGAGCUGAAAAACCCAGAGUUUCCCCCAAUCUGCUGGUGGCAGCCAUUGAUUUUGGGACUGCCUACUCGGGCUAUGCUUUCUCU